rnacentral:rRNA from 1 species
GAUGAACGCUGGCGGCGUGCCUAACACAUGCAAGUCGAGCGGACGGACGAGAAGCUUGUGUCUUUGCUGUUAGCGGCGGGCGGGUGAGUAACGCGUGGAUCACCUACUUAUAUUUCUGGGAUAACUUCGUGAAACCGUAGCUAAUACUGGCUAAUAUUUUGAACCGCAUGGUUCAAGAGUGCUUGUCGGCCUUGGUGUCUCUUAUAGCUGGAUCCGCGCUGCCUUAGCUAGUUGGUAAGGUAACGGCCUACCAAGGCAACGAUGCGUAGCCGACCUGAGAGGAUGAUCAGCCACACUGGAACUGAGACACGGUCCAGACUCCUACGGGAGGCAGCAGUAGGGAAUAUUCGGCAAUGGGCGAAAGCCUGACGCAGCAAGGCCGCGUGAGUGAUGAAGGUCUUCGGGUCGUAAAGCCCUCUUAUUAGGGAAGAACAGAUGUGGACUUAAACGUGGCUGUCUUGACGGUACCUAAUCAAUAAGCACCGGCUAACUACGUG